UGAGAGAGAGAGAGAGAGAAGGAGAAAGAGGAAGCUUUAGCAGCAGAGAGAGAGACAGAGAAAUUAGCAAUGGCGGCUAACUGUGUAAGGCAAACCCUACGAGUAUCUUCGGCCUCUGCGAAAAUCCUUUUGAGGUCUUCCUCUUCACCAUCGCUCUUUGCUUCCAAAGCUGCUUCUAAGUUGGCCGGUCUCGCCGCUUCCAAGCCCAGCUCCGCUUCUCGAUUCUCUCUUCACAAACUCAACUCCUCAAGGCUUCCUGUGGAGUUGGCUAGCUUACAGUCUUUGAUGCCAUUGCAUAGUGUCACUGCCUCGGCUUUGUUCACUUCUAUGCUGUCUUUGCAUAACAACAAGUGGGGUUGUCUAUCAGAAGAGUGUAGACCUAGACAUCGAAUUGAAUAAAUGCGGUGAUGCAGCGGAAUGGAUAGAACGGGAUUUUACCGGCCUAACCCGGACGGAAGACGGGCCUCAACAGUCCAAGUCCACCUAAAAGAAAACCCCACAAGGGGAAAACCCCCAAAUUGGAGAGGGAACUCAACUCUAAUUCAAUUAUCAAAAUACUCAAGUCUCUCUAUUACAUAGGCAAUGUGGAUAUUUAUAGCGAUAAUAAAAUAACAAGAUUUGCGACACCACUAUAACAUGGCCGGCGAGCUUCUGUUACGAGUAGAUGCAAGAUUAUCAUUGGCGCCUAAUUUUUGUUUUAUUCAAUGAUUUUGAUUGAAUUUGAGCUUAAUAUUAAUUCGAAAUUGAAGAAUAGUUGCAUUGUUCUUUUAAGUUGUUUGAGAAUGUGGUGAUGAUGACCUGCCACUGCAUGUCCUCAUUUUUUCUUUGGUCAGUUUUGUUAAACGGAUUUCAACAUUGAAUAAAUCUGCAAUUAGCAUAUUUCGAUCUCG